GAUCGGGCGUUCCCCCUUCGGGGGGACAGGGUGACAGGUGGUGCAUGGUUGUCGUCAGCUCGUGUCGUGAGAUGUUGGGUUAAGUCCCGCAACGAGCGCAACCCUCGACCUUAGUUGCCAGCAUUCAGUUGGGCACUCUAAGGUGACUGCCGGCUAAAAGUCGGAGGAAGGUGGGGAUGACGUCAAAUCAUCAUGCCCCUUAUGACCUGGGCUACACACGUGCUACAAUGGGCGGUACAAAGGGUCGCGAACCCGCGAGGGGGAGCCAAUCCCAAAAAGCCGCUCUCAGUUCGGAUUGCAGGCUGCAACUCGCCUGCAUGAAGCCGGAAUCGCUAGUAAUCGCGGAUCAGCAUGCCGCGGUGAAUACGUUCCCGGGCCUU
rnacentral:rRNA from 1 species